UAGCCAGAAGCCCUCCUGCUGUGGUUACCAUUUCACAACCAGUAAAGAAACCACAAGCAAAUCGACGAGAAGAACUUUUGAAGCAACUUCGUGCAGUCGAAGACGCAAUUGCUCGAAAAAGAACAAAAUUGCCAACUUAGUGAUUUUAGGUAAACGAUAAUGGUAUUGCUAGGUAAGUUAAAUCAUUAUUUAUACAAAAAAAAAGUUCUUAAGCUAGUUGGCUUCUCUUGUACAUAUGAGUUAGAUGGGAAUCCACUUGUGGUUCACUAAGCCAACCCUUGAUAGCAUUUCCACUAUAAUCCACCUGGAUAGCAACUCUUGACCAAGUGAUAACAUCACAGCAUUUCAACUAAAUGACGUAAUAUCAUAGUUCAUAUACAUCACUUAAUAAAAUCAGAUAAUAAUCUGAAACACAAAUGCUGUGGAAUUAUAGUGAUAUUGAAAUUAUAUCAAUUAAAAGUUAAGCAUCUAAAAAGCAAACUAGUUACCAGUAAAAUAUGAAGUUAAAGCACUUGCAGUUAUUGACAGUUGCUGGAAACAUCAAGAGCUUUUUGUCUGUUGUAAAAAGUGGCAUUGUGACUGUAAAAAUAAAUUUGUAUAUUGUGUAAGUGGAAUAUUUUGGUUUGGAUGGUAAAUAAAAUUUGUAUUUAUGCUGUAUAAUUCAACAAAUAUUGCAUUGAACUGCAGAUUCUUAAACCCAUUUUUGUCAUAAUUUAACUUGUUUUGUAUUGAACCAUCUAGCAUUAAGACAUAAAUUUAUUAUAAUUAAAAGUA